rnacentral:rRNA from 1 species
AUGAACGCUAGCGACAGGCCUAACACAUGCAAGUCGAGGGGCAGCACAAGGAGCAAUCUGAGGUGGCGACCGGCGCACGGGUGAGUAACACGUAUGCAACCUGCCUGUAAGCGGGGAAUAACCCGUUGAAAGACGGACUAAUACCGCAUAAUACUAAAUUACUGCAUGGUAAUUUAUUUAAACAUUUAUGGCUUACAGAUGGGCAUGCGCAUGAUUAGCUAGUUGGAGAGGUAACGGCUCCCCAAGGCAACGAUCAUUAGGGGUUCUGAGAGGAAGGUCCCCCACACUGGUACUGAGACACGGACCAGACUCCUACGGGAGGCAGCAGUGAGGAAUAUUGGUCAAUGGACGAGAGUCUGAACCAGCCAAGUCGCGUGCAGGAAGAAUGUUCCCUAUGGAUUGUAAACUGCUUUUGCAGGGGAAUAAGGUGCAUCACGUGUGAUGUUUUGUAUGUACUCUGCGAAUAAGGAUCGGCUAACUCCGUGCCAGCCGCCGC